rnacentral:rRNA from 1 species
GACGUAGGAGGCGAGCGUUGUCCGGAUUCAUUGGGCGUAAAGAGCGCGCAGGCGGCUUGGUAAGUCGGAUGUGAAAUCCCGAGGCUCAACCUCGGGUCUGCAUCCGAUACUGCCCGGCUAGAGGUAGGUAGGGGAGAUCGGAACUCCUGGUGUAGCGGUGAAAUGCGCAGAUAUCAGGAGGAACACCGAUUGCGAAGGCAGCUCGCUGGAACGUUACUGACGCUGAGACGCGAAAGCGUGGGGAGCAAACAGG